rnacentral:tRNA from 1 species
GGACUGGUGGAGGAACGGCUCACUCGGUCGCGCCGCAAGCGCUUCACAUGCCCGGUUCAAGUCCGAGCCCAGUCCUCCA